rnacentral:rRNA from 1 species
AUUGAACGCUGGCGGCAGGCUUAACACAUGCAAGUCGAACGAGUGGCGGACGGGUGAGUAAUGUAUGGGGAACUGCCUGAUGGAGGGGGAUAACUACUAGAAACGGUAGCUAAUACCGCAUACCAUCCGAUGACCCCCUAUGGGCUUAGCUGGUAGGUAAGGUAACGGCUUACCUAGGCGACGAUCCCUAGCUGGUCUGAGAGGAUGAUCAGCCACACUGGAACUGAGACACGGUCCAGACUCCUACGGGAGGCAGCAGUGGGGAAGAUUGCACAAUGGGCGCAAGCCUGAUGCAGCCAUGCCGCGUGUAUGAAGAAGGCCUUCGGGUUGUAAAGUACUUUCAGCGAGGAGGCGUUACUCGCAGAAGAAGCACCGGCUAACUCCGUGCCAGCAGCCGCGGUAAUAC